ACUCAAAGGAAUAGACGGGGGCCCGCACAAGCAGCGGAGCGUGUGGUUUAAUUCGAUGCGACGCGAAGAACCUUACCUGGGUUUGACAUGGGACUGCACCACGGGUUAUGCCGUGUCCGGUUCGUCCGGCGGUUCCACAGGUGCUGCAUGGCUGUCGUCAGCUCGUGCCGUGAGGUGUUGGGUUAAGUCCCCUAACGAGCGCAACCCCUGGGGUCCGUUGUAGUUUUCGGGCCCGACUGCCGCGCGCAACGCGGAGGAAGGUGGGGAUGACGUCAAGUCAGCACGGCCCUUACGUCCAGGGCGACACACACGCUACAAUGGCCGGUACAACGGGUUGCCAAGCCGCGAGGUGGAGCCAAUCCCCUAAAGCCGGUCUCAGUUCGGAUGGCAGGCUGCAACUCGCCUGCCUGAAGCCGGAGUUGCUAGUAACCGUGGGUCAGCACACCACGGUGAAUACGUUCCCGGGCCUUGCACACACCGCCCGU
rnacentral:rRNA from 1 species